UUGGAGGGCAAGUCUGGUGCCAGCAGCCGCGGUAAUUCCAGCUCCAAUAGCGUAUAUUAAAGUUGUUGCAGUUAAAAAGCUCGUAGUUGAACUUCGGGGUCUACCCAUUGGUCAGGCUUAAUUGUCUGCACCGGUGAGAUGGAUCUCUACCUUCUGAGGAACUUUCAUGCCGUUUAUUUGGUGUGAUGGGAAAUCAGGACUGUUACUUUGAGAAAAUUAGAGUGUUUAAAGCAGACUAUCGUCUGAAUACAUUAGCAUGGAGUAAUGAAAUAGGACGGACUGAUUCUAUUUCGUUGGUUUCUAGGAUCACCGUAAUGAUUAAUAGGGAUAGUUGGGGGCAUUAGUAUUCAAUUGUCAGAGGUGAAAUUCUUGGAUUUAUUGAAGACUAACUACUGCGAAAGCAUUUGCCAAGGAUGUUUUCAUUAAUCAAGAACGAAAGUUAGGGGAUCGAAGACGAUCAGAUACCGUCGUAGUCUUAACCAUAAACUAUGCCGACUAGGGAUCGGACGAAGUUAAUUUUAUAAUGACGCGUUCGGCGCCUUACGGGAAUU
rnacentral:rRNA from 1 species